rnacentral:rRNA from 1 species
GCAAGUCGAACGCGAACGGUCCCUCGGGACUUAGUAGAGUGGCGGACGGGUGAGUAACGCGUGGGAAUCUGCCCAGUAGUGGGGGACAACUACCGGAAACGGUAGCUAAUACCGCAUACGCCCUACGGGGGAAAGGCUUCGGCCGCUAUUGGAUGAGCCCGCGUCAGAUUAGCUAGUUGGUAAGGUAAUGGCUUACCAAGGCGACGAUCUGUAGCUGGUCUGAGAGGACGAAC